CCUACGGGAGGCAGCAGUAAGGAAUAUUGGACAAUGGUGGCAACACUGAUCCAGCCAUGCCGCGUGAAGGAUGAAGGACCUAUGGUUUGUAAACUUCUUUUGUAUGGGAAAAAACCUCUUUACGUGUAAAGAGCUGAUGGUACCAUAAGAAUAAGGGUCGGCUAACUUCGUGCCAGCAGCCGCGGUAAUACGAAGGACCCGAGCGUUAUCCGGAUUCAUUGGGUUUAAAGGGUGCGUAGGUGGAAUAAUAAGUCAGUGGUGAAAUCCUGCAGCUUAACUGCAGAACUGCCAUUGAUACUGUUGUUCUUGAGUACAUUUGAUGUGGGCGGAAUAUGACAUGUAGCGGUGAAAUGCUUAGAUAUGUCAUAGAACACCGAUUGCGAAGGCAGCUCACAAAACUGUUACUGACACUGAGGCACGAAAGCGUGGGGAGCAAACAGGAUUAGAUACCCUGGUAGUCCACGCCGUAAACGUUGAUCACUAGAUGUUGGCGAUACACUGUCAGCGUCCAAGCGAAAGCGAUAAGUGAUCCACCUGGGGAGUACGAUCGCAAGAUUGAAACUUAAGGAAUUGACGG
rnacentral:rRNA from 1 species